rnacentral:rRNA from 1 species
UUAGGAAUCUUGCGCAAUGGGGGAAACCCUGACGCAGCCAUGCCGCGUGAAUGAUGAAGGUCUUAGGAUUGUAAAAUUCUUUCAGCGGGGACGAUAAUGACGGUACCCGCAGAAGAAGCCCCGGCUAACUUCGUGCCAGCAGCCGCGGUAAUACGAAGGGGGCUAGCGUUGCUCGGAAUUACUGGGCGUAAAGGGCGCGUAGGCGGAUGUUUAAGUCAGCGGUGAAAGCCCAGGGCUCAACCUUGGAACUGCCAUUGAUACUGGACAUCUUGAGUACGGGAGAGGUGAGUGGAACUCCGAGUGUAGAGGUGAAAUUCGUAGAUAUUCGGAAGAACACCAGUGGCGAAGGCGACUCACUGGCCCGUUACUGACGCUGAGGCGCGAAAGCGUGGGGAGCAAACAG